UCGCCGGCGCAGUAUGGGGGUACUCCGGUGCCGAGUCAGCGACCUUUUGGUUGCCCGCGAAGUUCUGCAUCCGGCGCCCCUUGCGCUCGUCCCGGUUCGCCCCAUGUCGUCAGUUCCGUGCUCGCCGGCCGGCCGCUGUGUAGCAGGUCAAGCUCCAUCUUCAUCCUGGCGUGCAGCUUCCAGUUUGCACCUUCGUCUGGUUCAAUAAGUGUCCUGGCUCAUGUCAUUCAGCAUCCAAACGAGCAGCCUAGUGUUUCGCCAGGUCUCUACAUAGUCCAGAAAAGCUACAGUUUGCUGCGUGUCUCCAUCUGUUCAAUAGCUGCCUGGUAGCCGAUCUGAUAUCAAUUCAUGCCAUGUCUCAAUGUUUCUGCCUCCAGUUAUCACAACAAACGUAGCAUCAGUCUAGUGUCUACGUUGCUUGCACUAGCUAGCAGCAGGCAGGGAUCAAUACCUUGCCAGGACAAAUGUGCCUGCCUUUUUGUCGCUGCUUCUGGCCCUGCCUCGAGGCCGACCUGUUUUC